AUUGAACGCUGGCGGCAGGCCUAACACAUGCAAGUCGAGCGGAUGAAGGGAGCUUGCUCCUGGAUUCAGCGGCGGACGGGUGAGUAAUGCCUAGGAAUCUGCCUGGUAGUGGGGGAUAACGUCCGGAAACGGGCGCUAAUACCGCAUACGUCCUGAGGGAGAAAGUGGGGGAUCUUCGGACCUCGCGCUAUCAGAUGAGCCUAGGUCGGAUUAGCUAGUUGGUGGGGUAAAGGCCUACCAAGGCGACGAUCCGUAACUGGUCUGAGAGGAUGAUCAGUCACACUCGAACUGAGACACGGUCCAGACUCCUACGGGAGGCAGCAGUGGGGAAUAUUGGACAAUGGGCGAAAGCCUGAUCCAGCCAUGCCGCGUGUGUGAAGAAGGUCUUCGGAUUGUAAAGCACUUUAAGUUGGGAGGAAGGGCAGUAAGUUAAUACCUUGCUGUUUUGACGUUACCAACAGAAUAAGCACCGGCUAACUUCGUG
rnacentral:rRNA from 1 species